CACCGGCACCACAGCCGACGAAUCAAACCCAGAUCCCUCCGCCCCAGUGACUGGAGGCAGAUUAUACUCAAGAGCCAAGGAGAUGGUGGUCUCUGAGUCCUUGGUCGGGGCAUGAUUCAACCUCUAGCCGACGAUCUCCUCCGCGCUCUGAAGCGCAUACCAACCUCGAUGUGGAAGUCGAGCGAAAACUUCAAGAAAUGGAUCGAAAGAUCCAGCAGAUUUGCAACAACCCAUCAGCACCAUCUAAUGGAUUCGAUUCGAAACUGCCUUUUGAGGCGAGCAUCCUAUAGAAAUC
rnacentral:lncRNA from 1 species